GAGAUUCCAGCCCUCGCCAGCACAAGCUUCUGGGACUCCAUGGCACCUCCAUCAUUGAGUCUGACAGCUUCAACACAUCUACACCUUCCUGUUUGCUGUGCGUGCUACUGACAACGGAAGCCCAGGACGAAGCACAGACGGAUCAGUGACCAUCCAGAUCACCAGGGCUGUACUGCCUCGGUUCUUGAACACGCCGUACUCCACCUCCGUACAGGAGAACAGUGUCAAUGGAACUUGCAUCUUUACUGUUUCUGCUACUGAUGCUGAUGGACAGUUGAGACUGAUCGCCUAUGACAGUCAGACUCCGGGCCAGCGAGCAACAGCAGACGUCACAAUUGGUGUACAGCAUAACGUUAACUCGCCCAUCUUCAAGCCAGACAACUACAUUGAGGUUAUCCCAGAGGAAACUGCAGUUGGCGCCUCAAUCCUUCGAGUUACUGCCACAGAUGCUGACAAAAAUCAGCUGACAUGCUCCCUGACAAGUGAGACCAGAAGUUUCGGGCAGACGACAUACUUUGAUGUUGAGGUUUGGGCAUGUAUUGUGUUCAUUAAC